rnacentral:rRNA from 1 species
GACGAACGCUGGCGGCGUGCUUAACACAUGCAAGUCGAACGGAAAGGCCCUGCUUUUGUGGGGUGCUCGAGUGGCGAACGGGUGAGUAACACGUGAGUAACCUGCCCUUGACUUUGGGAUAACUUCAGGAAACUGGGGCUAAUACCGGAUAGGAGCUCCUGCUGCAUGGUGGGGGUUGGAAAGUUUCGGCGGUUGGGGAUGGACUCGCGGCUUAUCAGCUUGUUGGUGGGGUAGUGGCGUACCAAGGCUUUGACGGGUAGCCCGCCUGAGAGGGUGACCGGCCACCAUGGGACUGAGAUACGGACCAGAAUCGUACGGGAGGCAGCAGUGGGGAAUAUUGCACAAUGGGCGGAAGCCUGAUGCAGCAACGCCGCGUGCGGGAUGACGGCCUUCGGGUUGUAAACCGCUUUCGCCUGUGACGAAGCGUGAGUGACGGUAAUGGGUAAAGAAGCACCGGCUAACUACGUG